GACUUCCUGAGCAAACACUGAGAAACCAGCUCGUCUUCCCUUGGGUCUGGGGCCCGACUUUUCAGCAGCCACAAGGAUUUCAGUUGCUGAUAAAACUAGCACUGGCAGACAAGUUGCCAAAAUACAGUGUUCCUGCAAACAGGUUGCCAGUUUGCCAUGAUUUAUCCCAAAUAUUCCUUGAUGGGGCCCUUUAAAGGACACAUGAGUAUCAAAAGUAACACCUUUUCUCCUAGUUCUUCCUGCAGACUCUCAAGUCAGUACAUCAUUCAAGAUCAUAUGGCUGUGCAUUACAGAAAAUUGCUAAC
rnacentral:lncRNA from 1 species